rnacentral:lncRNA from 1 species
AUAAUGCUUUUUCGCGUAGGUGUUGUCAGCAAUUUCGGCUUCUGAAAGUCUCUUUCACACAAUUAAUUGCCUGUUUGUUUCACAUUUUCAGUCAUUCCAACAUCCGGCGAUGAGUCUGUGUCAAGCUCCUUUCCGCAGGCUUCACAAGUCAGUGAGCACGCAGGCGCCGACCUUCUGCUGAAAGCUGCAGCCCAUGUCGCAGCAUCCUCAACCAGCGCAGGCAUUCUGAGCAGAGCUGACUCACAAGCUGUAACAUCUGAAAACAGAGCUACCCCGACUGUUU